GAUGAACGCUGGCGGCGUGCCUAAUACAUGCAAGUCGAGCGAACGGACGAGAAGCUUGCUUUUCUGAUGUUAGCGGCGGACGGGUGAGUAACACGUGGAUAACCUACCUAUAAGACUGGGAUAACUUCGGGAAACCGGAGCUAAUACCGGAUAAUAUUUUGAACCGCAUGGUUCAAAAGUGAAAGACGGUCUUGCUGUCACUUAUAGAUGGAUCCGCGCUGCAUUAGCUAGUUGGUAAGGUAACGGCUUACCAAGGCAACGAUGCAUAGCAGACCUAAGAGGGUGAUCGGCCACACUGGAACUGAGACACGCUCCAAACUCCUGAGUGAGACAGCAGUAGGGAAUCUUCCGCAAUGGGCGGAAGCCUGACGGAGCAAAGCCGCGUGAGUGAUGAACGUCUUCGGCUCGUAAAACUCUGUUAUUAGGGAAGAACAUAUGUGUAAGUGUCUGUGCACAUCUUGACGGUACCUAAUCAGAAAGCCCCGGCUAACUACGUG
rnacentral:rRNA from 1 species